UACGGGGGGGGCAAGCGUUGUUCGGAAUUACUGGGCGUAAAGGGCUCGUAGGCGGCCAACUAAGUCAGACGUGAAAUCCCCAGGCUCAACCUGGGAACUGCGUCUGAUACUGGAUGGCUUGAAUCCGGGAGAGGGAUGCAGAAUUCCAGGUGUAGCGGUGAAAUGCGUAGAUAUCGGAAGGAACACCAGUGGCGAAAGCGGCUUCCUGGUCCAGCACCGACGUUCAGGCACGAAAGCGUGGGGAGCAAACAGG
rnacentral:rRNA from 1 species